rnacentral:lncRNA from 1 species
GAGAACAAAAUAGCUAGCUAGUUUCAUCCAAGUUUGAACUUUGAAGUUCAAUUAAACACACAAAGGACUCAAAAUUAAAGAUGAAGUACUAUAUGUAGGUAUAACACUAAUCACUUCCAUGAAAAUUCCUUAUAUUCAUGAUAAUAUAUGAUCCAAAUAGUAAUAUGCAUCUCCAUGCCUAAGUUCUUAUUAACUAAAAUAUUACAAAAGCACUCACUAAUAAGUAAUAAACACAAAACAAUCAUGUUUAAACAUCACAAGCUAGAUGAAUGAUAACAAAUAAUCAUGGCAACACUUACUCCAUUCAACUUAAUUAUAACUUGUAAGAAAAGUUAAAAACAAAAAAACAUUUCUAAGAAAUGGUGAUGAUCGGACCAGGUUGCUUCAAUUCCCCUUUUGGCAUUGUCAUGAUCUGCUUGUCUUCUCAAGUCUUUAGUAGUCCUGGAGAGCCUUCCAUCUUCAUCAAGACACAUUUUCUAAAGAUACCCUUUUCUUGAAAACAAGAGAACACAAUCUUCCAUAACAUUUGGAACAACAAAGAGUUUGUAACUUGGAUUAAGAACAUAAGAUCUGCAGCCAUGUUUGAUGGCUUGUUAGCUCUGCUUUGCUUGAGUUGAAUGAAUGUAAGUAGGAGGUAAACACUAGCUCUUUUAUAUAAACCUUGGAGAAGAUAGAGAGACGUUUUAAAGGUAAGGAGAGGUAGUUGUGGUUGAAGAGAGAGAGAGAGAGCACUUUAUAAAGUAUAGGCAGGUUGUAAUAUUGUGGAGCACGCAUACUGUUGGAGGCCUAAUCUUAUAUUCCCGCAUGCACGUUUCU